CUGUUUUCAGGGUCAAAGAGUUUCAUGCCCAUGCACAAAUCACACACACAAUGUCUCAGUAUUUUCCAUGCCUGGACCUCAAAUGCCAUGUACGUAAGCCUGGACAUGCUGCCGUGUGCCCCCCACAUCUCCCCCUUCUUUAAUUCUUAGGGCAUGCUGGUCAUCCAAUGCAAGGUAAGCCAUCAUUCUUCCCUGGUUGUAGACGGCACCUAACUCUGCCUGUUGCGUAAGUGUUAAAAUGUUCCUGGAUUUCGUGUUGUCAGUUUUGCGUGGCGUCUUGCCACACUAUAGCUGGCUUUUCAGUCUGUCUUGAACCAUCUGUAAAGACCGUGGUGGUGCGAAACAGAGGCUCAGACAGCAGUAGAUACAAAUGUACCAGGCACAGUUUGUAAAAAGUUCAGGAGCUCAGAGGCUGGCAAAUGAAAGCUGAUAUUACCAAUAAAGUCAGCCAUUGCUACUUGUCAAUCAGGAUCACAAGCUGAAAGAGUGCGAAAUGGUUCCUUGCUUAACAGUCGGGCAGGGAGCAGCAGGGUCGUGUCUUGAUCAUUGGAUGCAACGUUGGCGCCCCUUUAUGAGAAGAGAAGCUAUGAAAUCUGUAGUCUUCUGUACGUUUUUAGUGGGAUUAUGAGACAGGGACAUAACAUAUAAAAUACAGGAAUGGCAAAAGAUAAAGCCUACCUGUUAAACUACGGCAUGGAAGGGACAGAUAUUUUAAGUAAUUUUUUUACCAUAUUUUGGUUCUUGAAA